rnacentral:rRNA from 1 species
CGUGUAGGCGGUUUGGCAAGUCUUUUGUGAAAUCUCUCGGCUUAACUGGGAGCGGUCAAAAGAUACUACCAGACUAGAGGGUAGCAGAGGAAGAUGGAAUUCCCGGUGGAGCGGUGAAAUGUGUAGAUAUCGGGAGGAACGCCAGUGGCGAAAGCGAUCUUCUGGGCUAUUCCUGACGCUGAGGCGCGAAAGCGUGGGGAGCAAACA